GACAAUCUGGAGAAAAUGCUCUUAAAACUGCUAAAAAGUGCCAAAUAUGGAAAGUGCCAAAAAGGAAAGUUUCCAAAUAAGGAAAGUUUUCAAAUGAGGAAAGUGCAGAAGCAAAAGCAAACAAGGAAAGCUCAGUCAGAAGAUUAUUUGAAAUUCAAAUCGCAGAUCUUUCUUUCCUUGUUCAAAGAUGUGCACACACUGCAGCAGUCAUAUCUUCCUAUUUAGGCAGCAAGAUCUCAAAGAGAUGCUCUUUCUCUUCUGCAUUCAAUAUUCAAAUUUCAAAAGAGGCUCCACCUAAAAAGGAAUGUAUGGAAAAGCAUAUCUUCCCCUUUGAAGAUCAAAAUUCGUGCAUCCUUCCUAUUCAGAAACAAUCUGCGCG
rnacentral:lncRNA from 1 species